rnacentral:rRNA from 1 species
UACAGAGGGGGCGAGCGUUGUUCGGAAUUACUGGGCGUAAAGGGCGCGUAGGCGGCCCGCUAAGUCGAACGUGAAAUCCCCGGGCUCAACCCGGGAACUGCGUCCGAUACUGGAAGGCUUGAAUCCGGGAGAGGGAUGCGGAAUUCCAGGUGUAGCGGUGAAAUGCGUAGAUAUCUGGAGGAACACCGGUGGCGAAGGCGGCAUCCUGGACCGGUAUUGACGCUGAGGCGCGAAAGCUAGGGGAGCAAACGGG